rnacentral:tRNA from 1 species
GGCCAUGUGGUGGAAUUGGUAGACACGCCAUCUUGAGGGGGUGGUGCCGUAAGGUGUGCCGGUUCGAAUCCGGCUAUGGUCAC